rnacentral:rRNA from 1 species
ACGAACGCUGGCGGCGUGCUUAACACAUGCCAGUCGCACGGAAAGGCCCUGCUUUUGUGGGGUGCUCGAGUGGCGAACGGGUGAGUAACACGUGAGUAACCUGCCCUUGACUUUGGGAUAACUUCAGGAAACUGGGGCUAAUACCGGAUAGGAGCUCCUGCUGCAUGGUGGGGGUUGGAAAGUUUCGGCGGUUGGGGAUGGACUCGCGGCUUAUCAGCUUGUUGGUGGGGUAGUGGCUUACCAAGGCUUUGCCGGGUAGCCGGCCUGAGAGGGUGACCGGCCACAUUGGGACUGAGAUACGGCCCAGACUCCUACGGGAGGCAGCAGUGGGGAAUAUUGCACAAUGGGCGGAAGCCUGAUGCAGCAACGCCGCGUGCGGGAUGACGGCCUUCGGGUUGUAAACCGCUUUCGCCUGUGACGAAGCGUGAGUGACGGUAAUGGGUAAAGAAGCACCGGCUAACUACGUG